rnacentral:lncRNA from 1 species
UCUCUCCAUGCCUUUUUUUAAUGAGGAAGACCUUCAGAACCUCUUCUGAAAUAUAUGCACAUUUCCAAACACAGGGCAAAUGACUUGAGUCGGUUUUAUAAAAGAAUAUGGUAUCUUCACACACACAGAAAAAAACCCUAAAAAAGCGUUUGUUCAUGGUAAACUAGUAAAUACGUAACAGUGCUUUUUAAAGAUAAUCCUGUUUAAUAUAAGAAGGUUCGUAUUAAAUUGUGUUCCUCCCAGUUUUUGAAGACUGAGGUCUCCCUUGCCGUUAAGUUGAAAACCGUAUUUCAUCUUGAGUUGUUCGAACGUGCAUGGGGUACAGAACACCUACGGUUUAUGAAAUACUCUCAGCAAAUAUGAGAUGCCUGAUCCUAGUUGACUUAAUACAGAUUUUGUCUGUAGUUCAAGCAGUUUUUGUACCUACUCCAAAUUCAAUGCUCACCCCUAGGAAUCUGGCCCAUAACGUGGAGGGUGUGUGAAGACAGGGGAGAGAGAUGGUCAGACAUACAGCAGGAGGAAAGAUGCUGCAGAAGAGGAGUUGUCGUGGAGAUGUGCUCCCAUGGGCAUUGAAGCACACUGGCAUCGUGGCAAGUUGCAGGGUGUUUUUCAGAAUUGCUUGUUCAUCUCUAUGAGCAAAGCCCUCAAGCGCUCUGGAGCAGCGGCCCAGCAGGGAUGUGGGACUGGAUUCACUGGGGCUUCCAACCGAAACAAAAUCCCCCUUGCAAGGAGGAAGCAGAGAGCGCCAGCCGUGUCUGCAAACGUGGCAGCUGGAGACGGCGGUGUUCCUGCGGGUUUGUUGUGCACAGCACCUUGCACCCUGUUGUGGCAGAGCCUGGCCGGCAUCGCCCUCCCUGCAGAAGGCAAUGAGAAGCUAACCCACCCCUUACCCCAGAGCUGAGCCGUUGCUGUGGAAGGUUUCUGUUUGCUGGACGGGGUGAAGGAGCCUUAGGAUAAAAAUAAGCGAUAAAAAUAAAUGGAGAC